ensembl:lncRNA
UGCUCGUGAAAUAAACUUCAAAAAUUCCACUUGUAUCCAAGGCUUGAUUUAUUAACAUAUCUUACAGGAGAGAAAAGGAUGAAUAAAUGAAGUAAUUUAUGACAAUGGAUUGUUGAAGCGGUUCUAAACUGUGUCCAAAAUGUUUUCGCCUUUUAUCACUGACAACUUAAAACAAUGGUACAUUGAGCUAGUAACAGCAGAACGCAAGCAAAAAACAGUAAGUACAGAACAUUUCCGAAAACGGUAACUUGCUGGGUAUGAGACAGUAAACAUAACACUAACCUGAGAAACAAAACCAAGAAAUGAGCACUGACACUAUGACACUGGUGGGUUUACAAAGAAUAGAAUGUUGGCAGCUUUACAAACACUAUGGUUUCAUGAGGUUACAAUUGGCACCUUUUUCAACAGGCCAGAGAUGCAGUAAUCGUAAGUUCUGUGAUUUGCUCAAGCAACAUAAUAUGAGUGAUGGUCAUAAUCUGAGGAGCUACCAACUAAAAUACAUCAGAGGACUAACAGUAACCAAAAUAUACACAAAAGGAGUUAUGGUCUAUCUAUUGUCAAUUCAAACAACAGUUCAGAAUGAGGGUGUUUGAAACCUAGAUACUAAACAGCAGCAAAUAAAUAGUAACAUAAACUUUAAACAGUUGAAUAAUCUUUAAUAUCUCUAUAUAGAACAAACUAAAUGAAAAAAUUUAAUACUAAUAAUUAAAAAAAAGAUUAUCCACUCAUUCGUCCACUUCUGUAAAAAUGUCGCUCAAGAAGUACUGAGAGACGUUGGUGGGCUCCUCGUCCCCCCUGCUGACGCUCAGCUGGUCCUCCUGGUGGGGCGGGGCCGUCUGUAGGGGAGGGAGCACAGGGUUAGACAGGCGCUACCAGUCGCUACGGUGCAUUGGAUAGGCUGUUGGGUGAUCUAUCCACUACCAGCUGGUACGGUGCAUUUGAUAGGCUGGGAGGCUGAGAUAUCCCCCGUACAUCUGGGGGGACACUUCCACUUGUGAAGUGACCAAUUUCUUUUUAGAUAUAUAUAUUUAGAAUAUUUGGAAAUGGCUUCUAAUGGCAAAUCAAAAAGACGCACCUAUCCUGCGUCAUGUCGUUAGGGAGGGCUAGUGAGAGCAUCUUGUUAAAGGAUGCUUCAACUAGCCAUUAAACAACCCCCCCCCCCAGUGUUAUUGCCCCCGGGGUGGACAGCGUCACCUCAGCUGUUCUUCCAGAGGUGGCGGGCCGUGGUUCUGCGGGGCCCGUACUGACGCAGGACUCCGGCACCGGCGCCGGCCUGCGCUCCGGCCUGCGCUGCGGUGCCACGGAAACGACUUUGAGUGGCGUUUUCUUGGCACCGCCUUCCGAGGCGGGGCCCGGUUUUCUCGCCGCGCCACGAGACGCUUUGACCUGCGGGGCGAGGGGCGGCGCUCUGACCUUUGCCCCGAGGGUUCCAGAGGGGCCCGGGGUCACCGGGCCUGCGAGGAACGAGAGGAACCCCUUGGGCUUCCU